rnacentral:rRNA from 1 species
GAUGAACGCUGGCGGCGUGCCUAAUACAUGCAAGUCGAGCGAACAGACGAGGAGCUUGCUCCUCUGACGUUAGCGGCGGACGGGUGAGUAACACGUGGAUAACCUACCUAUAAGACUGGGAUAACUUCGGGAAACCGGAGCUAAUACCGGAUAAUAUAUUGAACAGCAUGGUUCAAUAGUGAAAGACGGUUUUGCUGUCACUUAUAGAUGGAUCCGCGCCGCAUUAGCUAGUUGGUAAGGUAACGGCUUACCAAGGCGACGAUGCGUAGCCGACCUGAGAGGGUGAUCGGCCACACUGUAACUGAGACACGGUCCAGACUCCUACGGGAGGCAGCAGUAGGGAAUCUUCCGCAAUGGGCGAAAGCCUGACGGAGCAACGCCGCGUGAGUGAUGAAGGUCUUCGGAUCGUAAAACUCUGUUAUUAGGGAAGAACAAAUGUGUAAGUAACUAUGCACGUCUUGACGGUACCUAAUCAGAAAGCCACGGCUAACUACGUG